rnacentral:rRNA from 1 species
AUUGAACGCUGGCGGCAGGCUUAACACAUGCAAGUCGAGCGGGGGAAGGUAGCUUGCUACCGGACCUAGCGGCGGACGGGUGAGUAAUGCUUAGGAAUCUGCCUAUUAGUGGGGGACAACAUCUCGAAAGGGAUGCUAAUACCGCAUACGUCCUACGGGAGAAAGCAGGGGAUCUUCGGACCUUGCGCUAAUAGAUGAGCCUAAGUCGGAUUAGCUAGUUGGUGGGGUAAAGGCCUACCAAGGCGACGAUCUGUAGCGGGUCUGAGAGGAUGAUCCGCCACACUGGGACUGAGACACGGCCCAGACGCCUACGGGAGGCAGCAGUGGAGAGUAUUGGACAAUGGGCGGAAGCCUGAUCCAGCCAUGCCGCGUGUGUGAAGAAGGCCUUUUGGUUGUAAAGCACUUUAAGCGAGGAGGAGGCUACUAGUAUUAAUACUACUGGAUAGUGGACGUUACUCGCAGAAUAAGCACCGGCUAACUCUGUGCCAGCCGCCGCCGUAA